CGUGGGUAACUUGCCUUAUAGUGGGGGAUGGCCUUUCGAAAGGAAGAUUAAUACCGCAUAAGAUUGUAGUAUCGCAUGAUAUAGCAAUUAAAGGAGCAAUUCGCUAUAAGAUGGACCCGCGUCGCAUUAGCUAGUUGGUGAGGUAAUGGCUCACCAAGGCGACGAUGCGUAGCCGACCUGAGAGGGUGAUCGGCCACAUUGGGACUGAGACACGGCCCAGACUCCUACGGGAGGCAGCAUG
rnacentral:rRNA from 1 species